rnacentral:rRNA from 1 species
AGCCGUGGCCACGCCACCUUGAACGCACCGGAUCUCAUCUGAUCUUGGAAGCUAAACAGGGUUGGGCCUGCUUAGAGCUUGAACGGGAGACUGCACCGGGUUUGGGAACGCAAGGCUC